GACGAACGCUGGCGGCGUGCUUAACACAUGCAAGUCGUGCGGUAAGGCCCUGCUUUGGUGGGGUACACGAGCGGCGAACGGGUGAGUAACACGUGGGUGACCUGCCUUCAGCUUUGGGAUAAGCCUGGGAAACUGGGUCUAAUACCGGAUAUGACCUUGGGGUGCAUGCCUUGGGGUGGAAAGCCUGUGUUGUUUGGCAUGGGUGGCUGGGGAUGGGCCCGCGGUCUAUCAGCUUGNGGUGGGGUGAUGGCCUACCAAGGCGACGACGGGUAGCCGGCCUGAGAGGGCGACCGGCCACACUGGGACUGAGACACGGCCCAGACUCCUACGGGAGGCAGCAGUGGGGAAUCUUGCGCAAUGGGCGAAAGCCUGACGCAGCGACGCCGCGUGAGGGAUGACGGCU
rnacentral:rRNA from 1 species